GUGCUAGCUUCAGCAGCACAUAUACUAAAAUUGGAACGAAACAGAGAAAAUUAGCAUACCCUCCAAAAAAAAGACAGUACCACUCACUGACAAUUCCUUCUCUCAA